rnacentral:rRNA from 1 species
UAACGCGGAAGAACCUUACCAACCCUUGACAUCGCAGGACCGCUCCAGAGAUGGAGUUUUCUCGUAAGAGACCUGUGGACAGGUGCUGCAUGGCUGUCGUCAGCUCGUGUCGUGAGAUGUUCGGUUAAGUCCGGCAACGAGCGCAACCCACACUCUUAAGAGCCAAGCAUUUGGUUGGGCACUCUAAGAGAACUGCCGAUGAUAAGUCGGAGGAAGGUGUGGAUGACGUCAAGUCCUCAUGGCCCUUACGGGUUGGGCUACACACGUGCUACAAUGGUGGUGACAGUGGGUUAAUCCCCAAAAGCCAUCUCAGUUCGGAUUGGGGUCUGCAACUCGACCCCAUGAAGUUGGA